AAAUCCUCUCGAAACCAAACACCCCGGAAAAAAAUAAUUUAUUUUUUAUAGGAGAAAAAAAGAGGAGAAAAAAAAGGGAAGAAAGAGAUGGACGAGGCGUGGGAGAGGGCGGUGGAGGCGGCGCUGCAGGCCGCCGGAGAGGGGAGCUCGUCGCCGGCGAGGAGCCUGACGCUGGACGGCGCCGUGAAGUGCCUGCACGGACGGCUGCCCGCGGCGGAGAUUCUGGAGCGGUACCAGAGCCUGGAGCACCUGUCGAUCGCCGGCGUCGGGGUCGCGUCGCUUGCCGGGUUCCCUCGGCUGCGGAACCUGACGCGCCUGACGCUCUCCGACAACCGCAUCGCCGGCGGCCUCGACCACCUCGUCGCCGCCGGGCUGGCCUCGCUCCGCGACCUCGACCUCAGCAACAAUCGAAUCCAGGACGUCGGCGACCUCUCGCCGCUCGCCAACCUCCGCCUCGUCUCGCUCGACCUCUACGAGUGCCCCGUCACGCGGGUCAAGGAUUACAGAUCCAAGGUGUUCGGCAUGAUCCGGACUCUCAAGUACCUCGACAAGAUGGACGCCGACGAGAACGAGAGGCCGGAGUCGGAUGACGACGACGACGACGGGGAUGGCGACGGCGACGGCGAGGAGGAGGAGGACGACGACGAUGACGAGGAUGAGGAUCCUGGCAGCGGCGAGGUGGCCAACGGAGGCGUCUCCCACCCGCGCGGUGGCGUGGCGUCGCACCCGGUGGAGGUGAACGGUGUGAUCGAUGUGGACGAGGACGAGAGCGACGCCGACGAGGUCGUCCCGAACGGGGGAGACGAACACCACGCUAAUGGGUUUCGGGUCGCGGCCGUUGGGGACGAGGAUGAAUAUGUGGAGGAGGAAGACGAUGAUGAUGAGGAAGACUAUGAGGAGGAGGAUGAUUUGGGGGAGGAGAUCGAUGAGGAUGGUGAUGACGAAGACGCUGUUGUUGAGGUGCAUGAUGUACCAAGUAGCAGUGAUGAGGAGGAAGACGGCAUCGAGGAAGAGGAUGAGGAGGAGGACGAGGAUGAAGAGGAGGUUGAGGAUGAUGGUGAGGAGGCUGAGCCAGAGAGCAGCGGGAGGGUCGCUUUGGCGGUGGGGGACGUUGGAGAAGAGAUUGAUGGGCAUGAGCACGGAGAGGGGGAAGAUGAGGAUGAGAACGGUGAGAUUGGAGAGGAAGAUGAGGAGAGAUUGGAGGAUGAUAGGGUUUAUGAGGAGGGGAAUGAUGACGACGAGGAGGAUGUGGAUGAUGAGGAUGAAGACACAGAAUAUCUUGUUCAACCAAUUGCUCAACCUCAGGCCAUGGCGGUUGGAAACGACUUUGAUGCAGCUGAGGCUGAUGAUGCUGAUGAAGAUAGAGAUGAGGUUGAUGACGAUGAUGAUGGUGGUACGGACCUGCCCUCGUCCUCGCAGGGCGCUAAGCGGAAGAGAGAUGAUGAUCCAUCAGGCAGUGGAGAUGACGACGAGGACGAUGAUGGUGUCGAGGACCUGAGGCCCUUCAAGCACCACUGACCAAGCAGCAAUGUACAUGGAUCCCUUCCUCCCCCUCUUCUCAGCUAGAAAGAACCAAGCAAGCAGCAGCAGGAGCAUCAGCAAACAGAAAUGUCAGUGAGAAGAAGGAUGCGGCCGAUGCCAAGAAGGAAGCCACCGCGGAGGCGAAGCCCGCAGCGAAGCCGGCCGCGAAGCCGAAGAAGCCUCCGGUGAAGCCGCUGCCGGAGAUGAUGCAGGAGGAGAUCAUCCCCCCGCUGAAGGCAGCUCUGGAGGCUGAGGACGACGUGUCCCAAGUGGAGCUCUCCUUCGAAGAUAAUAGGUUGGAGGGUUCCUUCAUAAAGGAUGAAGUGCCUUAUUACUUCUGGGCCUUCUUUCCAAAUGGAGACCUCACAGGACCGAAGGGCUUCGCGCUGUCAUCGUAUAGCACAGAAGUGAGCACCAUCGAGCCGUUCCUGAUCGACGAGAAGAGAGCAAACGCCAAGUAUGUGGUGUUCUGGGUUUACAAGAGGCUGGCUGGCCAAGGGAUCCUCCCUGUCUGGAAGGAAGAGGAGGGUGAGGGUGAGGGGGAGGGGGAGUCUUCAGCGUAGCCACUCAAAAACACACACACAUGGGCACAGGCUGCUCUGAAUAUAGUACAUUGUGCAAUUCCUAAUUGUGAAUGUUGUAAAGAUGUAAAGUUCAUCUGCUAAUAUAUCACAGAUAAUCUUGAUGUUCUUUUUUGGAGCGAAGAUGAUCAUGACGUCUGAACCUUGCAUCUA